rnacentral:rRNA from 1 species
GACGAACGCUGGCGGCGGGCUUAACACAUGCCAGUCGAACGGUGAAGCGCCUUCCUUUUUGGCGGGUGGGGAUGGGUGGAGAACUGGGGAGUAAGACGGCAGUAACCUGCCCCCUGCUGCUGGAUAACCCCAUGAAAGUGUGGCUAAUACGGGACAUUCUGAGUCGGUCGCAUGAUGGGACUAGAGAAGCGGUUGUUUUGGUGGGGAGGGGGUCUCGGCCUGUCAGCUUGUUGGUGGGGUGGUGGCCUACCAGGGCGGAGGCGAGUAGCCGGGCUGAGGGGGUGACCGCUCGCCGUGGGGCUGCGGCGCGGCGCAGACUCCUACGGGAGGCAGCAGUGGGGAAGAUUGCUCGAUGGGCGCAAGCCUGAUGCAGCGGCGCCGCGUGAGGGAUGGUGGCCGUCGGGUUGAGAACCUCUUUCGCCAGUGAAGCAGGCCUGCCUUGUUUGUGGGGGGAUUGACGGUAGCUGGAUAAGAAGCGCCGGCUAACUACGUG